UACGUAGGGUGCAAGCGUUGUCCGGAAUUAUUUGGGCGUAAAGAGCUCGUAGGCGGUCUGUCGCGUCGGCUGUGAAAAUCCCCGGAGCUCAACUCCGGGUCUGCAGUCGAUACGGGCAAACUGGAGUACUGCAGGGGAGACUGGAAUUUCCUGGUGUAGCGGUGAAAAUGCGCAGAUAUCAGGAGGAACACCGGUGGCGAAGGCGGGGUCUCUGGGGCAGUAACUGACGCUGAGGAGCGAAAAGCGUGGGGGAGCGAACAGG
rnacentral:rRNA from 1 species